rnacentral:rRNA from 1 species
AGAGCGAACGCUGGCGGCAGGCCUAACACAUGCAAGUCGAACGGACCCUUCGGGGUUAGUGGCGGACGGGUGAGUAACACGUGGGAACGUGCCUUUUGGUUCGGAAUAGCUCCUGGAAACGGGUGGUAAUGCCGAAAUGUGCCCUUCGGGGGAAAGAUUUAUCGCCAUUAGAGCGGCCCGCGUCUGAUUAGCUAGUUGGUGAGGUAAUGGCUCACCAAGGCGACGAUCAGUAGCUGGUCUGAGAGGAUGACCAGCCACAUUGGGACUGAGACACGGCCAAACUCCUACGGGAGGCAGCAGUGGGAAUCUUGCGCAAUGGGCGAAAGCCUGACGCAGCCAUGCGCGUGAAUGAUGAAGGUCUUAAGGAUCGUAAAAAUUCUUUCUACCGGGGAACGAUAAAUAGACGGUACCCGGAGAAAGAAAGACCCCGGCUAAACUUCGUGCCAGCAAGCCGC